rnacentral:rRNA from 1 species
UCGAUUUGGAGUUUGUUGCCUAGAGUGAUGGGCUCCGAAGCUAACGCGAUAAAUCGACCGCCUGGGGAGUACGGCCGCAAGGUUAAAACUCAAAUGAAUUGACGGGGGCCCGCACAAGCGGUGGAGCAUGUGGUUUAAUUCGAUGCAACGCGAAGAACCUUACCUGGUCUUGACAUCCACAGAAUCUUGCAGAGAUGCGAGAGUGCCUUCGGGAACUGUGAGACAGGUGCUGCAUGGCUGUCGUCAGCUCGUGUUGUGAAAUGUUGGGUUAAGUCCCGCAACGAGCGCAACCCUUAUCCUUUGUUGCCAUCGGUUCGGCCGGGAACUCAAAGGAGACUGCCGUUGAUAAAGCGGAGGAAGGUGGGGACGACGUCAAGUCAUCAUGGCCCUUACGACCAGGGCUACACACGUGCUACAAUGGCGUAUACAAAGGGAGGCGACCUCGCGAGAGCAAGCGGACCUCAUAAAGUACGUCUAAGUCCGGAUUGGAGUCUGCAACUCGACUCCAUGAAGUCGGAAUCGCUAGUAAUCGUGAAUCAGAAUGUCACGGUGAAAUACGUUCCCGGGCCU